GGAGAGUGAAGAGAUUCCAGUGUCUAGUGACCAAGGUCAAGAAGGAGAAAGUAAGCCUGAACGCAAAAAGCCAACUGAGGAAGCUGCUGAAUCUGAGGAGCAAAUAGCAAGUGAAGAGAUCCCAGUGCCCAG